AACGCUGGCGGCGUGCUUAACACAUGCAAGUCGAACGAUGAACCUCACUUGUGGGGGGAUUAGUGGCGAACGGGUGAGUAACACGUGAGUAACCUGCCCUUGACUCUGGGAUAAGCCUGGGAAACCGGGUCUAAUACUGGAUACGACCUUCUGGCGCAUGCCAUGUUGGUGGAAAGCUUUUGUGGUUUUGGAUGGACUCGCGGCCUAUCAGCUUGUUGGUGGGGUAAUGGCCUACCAAGGCGACGACGGGUAGCCGGCCUGAGAGGGUGACCGGCCACACUGGGACUGAGACACGGCCCAGACUCCUACGGGAGGCAGCAGUGGGGAAUAUUGCACAAUGGGCGCAAGCCUGAUGCAGCGACGCCGCGUGAGGGAUGAAGGCCUUCGGGUUGUAAACCUCUUUCAGUAGGGAAGAAGCCGGCCUUUGGGUUGGUGACGGUACCUGCAGAAGAAGCGCCGGCUAACUACGUGCCAGCAGCCGCGGUAAUACGUAGGGCGCAAGCGUUAUCCGGAAUUAUUGGGCGUAAAGAGCUCGUA
rnacentral:rRNA from 1 species